UUUUAACCGCUCCUCACCACAUCUUAGUGAGCUAACGUUCGGAUUUGAGGAGCAAACACCCUGAGCAACCCCGAAAGGAGAGAGCUAUGUCUUUUGAAUUACCGGCAUUACCUUAU
rnacentral:sRNA from 19 species